rnacentral:misc_RNA from 1 species
GAUGAAGAACGCAGCGAAAUGCGACACUUGGUGUGAAUUGCAGAAUCCCGUGAACCAUCGAGUUUUUGAACGCAAGUUGCGCCCGAAGCCGUUAGGCCGAGGGCACGCCUGCCUGGGUGUCACAGAUCGUUGCCCCAAUGCCAAUCGCCUCACUUUGUAGGUAUUUGCUUGGGGUGAAUGUUGGCCUCCCGUGAGCUUUGUCUCACGGUUGGUUGAAAAUCGAGUGCAUGGUGUCGGGUGUACCAUGAUGGAUGGUGGUUGAGUGAUGAUGCUCGAGACCAAUCAUGGGUAACUCCACCAGAAUUGGGCUCGGUGACCCACAUGCGUCCCUUGGAUGCUCCCUAAGGAGACCUCAGGUCAGGCGGGGCUACCCGCUGAGUUUAAGCAUAUCAAUAAGCGGAGGA